rnacentral:rRNA from 1 species
UACGUAGGUGGCGAGCGUUGUCCGGAAUUAUUGGGCGUAAAGCGCGCGCAGGCGGUCCUUUAAGUCUGAUGUGAAAGCCCACGGCUCAACCGUGGAGGGUCAUUGGAAACUGGGGGACUUGAGUGCAGAAGAGGAGAGUGGAAUUCCUCGUGUAGCGGUGAAAUGCGUAGAGAUGUGGAGGAACACCCGUGGCGAAGGCGACUCUCUGGUCUGUAACUGACGCUGAGGCGCGAAAGCGUGGGGAGCAAACAGG